rnacentral:rRNA from 1 species
GCUUGUCUCAAAGAUUAAGCCAUGCAUGUCUCAGCAUAAGCCUUUUCACGGUGAAACUGCAAAUGGCUCAUUAAAGCAGUUACAAUUUAUUUGAUGGUGACUGUUACAUGGAUAACCGUAGUAAUUCUAGAGCUAAUACAUGCGUAAAUACCCAACUGCUUGUCGGACGGGUAGCAUUUAUUAGAUUGAAACCAAUGCAGCUUCGGCUGGUAUUGUGUUGAGUCAUAAUAACUGUGCGGAUCGCUUUUUAAGCGAUAAAUCGAUUGAGUUUCUGCCCUAUCAGCUUUGGAUGGUAGGAUAUGGGCCUACCAUGGCGUUAACGGGUAACGGGGAAUUAGGGUUUGAUUCCGGAGAGGGAGCCUUAGAAACGGCUACCACAUCCAAGGAAGGCAGCAGG